UACAGAGGAUGCAAGCGUUUGUCCGGAUUUAUUGGGCGUAAAGAGCGUGUAGGCGGCUUGGUAAGUCCGCUGUGAAAACUCGAGGCUCAACCUCGAGAUGUCGGCGGAAACCACUUGGCUAGAGUCCGGAAGAGGAGAGUGGAAUUCCUGGUGUAGCGGUGAAAUGCGCAGAUAUCAGGAAGAACACCUAUGGCGAAGGCAGCUCUCUGGGACGGUACUGACGCUGAGACGCGAAAAGCGUGGGGGAGCGAACAGG
rnacentral:rRNA from 1 species